UUGAGCAUUUUCCUCAUUUGUAUAAAUAUGGUAUAAACUGCUCAGGUUGUGUAGUUACCUUCCCUGACAAUUGUUCUGCUCUUUGGAGAGCCAAGUGGAUCAGCAGCCUUUCCUAGGAGUUCCAACUUGCACUCUGCUCUAUCUGCACCAAUACUGCAGCCACAGGUACCUUAUUGCAUAUUCAUGGUGACAGGUAUUUGUUUUCAGCUGUGCAAAAUCUUUUUCCUCCUUCAGAGAAAAGUUUUCCAAAUUCUUAUGUAUUAACAGUGCCAUAGGGCAGCAGUGUUAAUCCAAACAAUUGAAAUUGGUGGGAGAGGAUGGUGUGAAAAGGGACUCCAGGUUUAGCAGGAUCAUCCCAUGGAAGUGACGAGGUUUAGGAAGAUUGUUCUGAGACUACUGACUUACUCAGCUAAAAUGUGAAGCAUGAAACAUUAAAGACAACAGCACUUUCUGAAAAAAGGAGAUUGUGGAAGGGUGGCAAGUUUUUCUAGGAAGACAUUGCCUACCAGCUUGAAACAUGUAAAUUGCUGGAAUUUGCAUCAAAAUAUGACAGCUCUUCUCUG